AUUAUAACGUUUUUAAUUGGCGGAUUUGGUAUACAUUGUUUCAAAUGGCGUAAUCAGAAUUAUCAGAUAAGAUUUUGGAUAAUUAGAUGUUUAUAACCAAUCAAUAUUGUAACUUUCAUAAAAAUU
rnacentral:sRNA from 1 species